CAGCCGCCGCGGUAACACCAGCCCCUCGAGUGGUGGGGAUGAUUAUUGGGCCUAAAGCAUCCGUAGCCGGCUCUGUAAGUUUUCGGUUAAAUCUGUAUGCUCAACAUACAGGCUGCCGGGAAUACUGCAGAGCUAGGGAGUGGGAGAGGUAGACGGUACUCGGUAGGAAGGGGUAAAAUCCUUUGAUCUAUUGAUGACCACCUGUGGCGAAGGCGGUCUACCAGAACACGUCCGACGGUGAGGGAUGAAAGCUGGGGGAGCAAACCGGAUUAGAUACCCGGGUAGUCCCAGCUGUAAACUAUGCAAACUCGGUGAUGCAUUGGCUUGAUGCCAAUGCAGUGCCGCAGGGAAGCCGUUAAGUUUGCCGCCUGGGAAGUACGUACGCAAGUAUGAAACUUAAAGGAAUUGGCGGGGGAGCAC
rnacentral:rRNA from 2 species